GGCUGGUUAUCUCAGUCAGUUGAGAGUGGCGCUAACAACGCCAAGGUCGUGGGUUCAAUUCCUGCUCGAUCCC
rnacentral:tRNA from 1 species